rnacentral:ribozyme from 1 species
AAGAAGGAAAAAAAAAAAAGAAGGGGAAAAGAAAACAUUUUUUUUUUUUUUUUUUUUUUUUUUCUUACAAAGGUAAUUUAAUCAUAAUCGAUGUGCUCUC